GGUGUAGUGGUGUAGUUGGUUAUCACGUCAGUUUUACACACCGAAGGUAUCCGGUUCGAAUCUGGGCGACGCCA